CGCCACCCGUCUGGGGCCCGAAAGGAGGGAGCUUUCCCUCUGUCCCCCAGCCUUUGGACUGUCACCAAACAAGCCAUUCGUUCACCAAAUACUUUUUAAGCGCCUACCAUGUGCCUGACAAGGGAUAUGUAACGGUGAGAAAAACUAGGUGUGGUCCAGGCCCUUCAGGGACUCAGGGGCUCGUGGAAGAAGUGGAUAUUGAAGUACUUAUCACACAAAGGAGGAUAAAAGUACGAUAGCGAUAUCUACCACGAAGCUGUUGUUCCACACCAGAACCAAAUGAGCGCAAGAUCUGACAAAAAAAAAAGGUUCAUCUUUUAUUCUUCCAAACACUUUCAUUUAAAUCAAGAGGAUGGGAUGUGGUUAUUACUGUGUUUUUAGACAAAAUCAAUGGUUUCUGGCUCUGAGAUGUUGCAUACACCCUCUCAGUCCCUGUAUCCUGAGAUGGAGUCACCUGAGAAUCCACAGCAAGUCCUAACCAGGGAUGGGUCUGGGUGAUUAAGGAAGAUUGGCUUCAGAACUGGGCCAGGGGCACUGCUUUGCUUUUGCUGUUUUGAUCAGCUCUCUGCCUGCAGGAGACGAGGAAAACCAAUGGGAACAGCUGGGGAAACUGAGUUACAGAGCUUUUCUGCACUGAGUCAUCAGGAGCAAAUGCUAGAUCAGAUAGGGUCUCUCUCUCUGCCACUCAGGCCAGAGUGCAGUUGACGCAGAGCAGGGGAGCCCUGAAAUGGAGCAUAGUGUGUCCGGAACUGGUGGGUUCUUGGUCUCACUGACUUCAAGAAUGAAGCUGCGGACCCUCGGGAUGAGUGUCACAGUUCUUAAA
rnacentral:lncRNA from 1 species